UGGGGAAUAUUGCACAAUGGGCGAAAGCCUGAUGCAGCAACGCCGCGUGAGUGAUGAAGGCCUUCGGGUUGUAAAGCUCUGUCUUUUGGGACGAUAAUGACGGUACCAAAGGAGGAAGCCACGGCUAACUACGUGCCAGCAGCCGCGGUAAUACGUAGGUGGCAAGCGUUGUCCGGAUUUACUGGGCGUAAAGGAUGCGUAGGCGGAUUUUUAAGUGAGAUGUGAAAACCCUAAGCUUAACUUGGGGACUGCAUUUCAUACUGGAAAUCUAGAGUGCGGGAGAGGAGAAUGGAAUUCCUAGUGUAGCGGUGAAAUGCGUAGAGAUUAGGAAGAACACCAGUGGCGAAGGCGAUUCUCUGGACCGUAACUGACGCUGAGGCAUGAAAGCGUGGGUAGCAAACAGGAUUAGAUACCCUGGUAGUCCACGCCGUAAACGAUGAGUACUAGGUGUAGGAGGUAUCGACCCCUUCUGUGCCGCAGUUAACACAAUAAGUACUCCGCCUGGGAAGUACGAUCGCAAGAUUAAAACUCAAAGGAAUUGACGGGGUCAUAGCUGUUUUUCU
rnacentral:rRNA from 1 species